GAUGAACGCUGGCGGCGUGCCUAAUACAUGCAAGUCGAGCGGACGGACGAGAAGCUUGCUGCGCGGAUGUUAGCCGAGGACGGGUGAGUAACACGUGGAUACCCUCCCUAUAAUAGGGGGAAAACUUCGGGAAACGGGAGAUAAUACCGGAGAAUAUUUUGAACCGCAUGGUUCAAAAGUGAAAGUCGGUCUUGCUGGCACUUAUAGAUGGAUCCGCGCUGCAUUAGCUAGUUGGUAAGGUAACGGCUUACCAAGGCAACGAGGCAUAGCCGACCUGUGAGAGGGGUCGGCCACACUGGAGCUGAGACACGGACCAUGCUCCUACGGGAGGCCCCAGAAGGGAACGGUCGGCAAUGGGCGAAAGCCUGACGGAGCAGCGCCGCGUGAGAGAUGAAGGUGUUCGGAUCGUAAUACCCUGUUACUAGUGGAGAACCGAUGUGGAAGUAGAUGUGGCCAGCUUGACGGUACUUGAUCAGAAAGCCACGGCUAACUACGUG
rnacentral:rRNA from 1 species